rnacentral:rRNA from 1 species
UACGGAGGGUGCAAGCGUUGUCCGGAAUCAUUGGGCGUAACGAGUUCGUAGGCGGUAUGUAAAGUCAGGUGUUAAAGGCACAGGCUCAACCUGUGUAUGGCACUUGAUACUUGCAAACUAGAAUGCGGUAGAGGUAAAGGGAAUUCCUGGUGUAGCGGUGAAAUGCUUAGAUAUCAGGAGGAACAUCGGUGGCGUAAGCGCUUUACUGGGCCGUAAUUGACGCUGAGGAACGAAAGCCAGGGUAGCAAAU